rnacentral:rRNA from 1 species
ACACGUAGGGGGCGAGCGUUGUCCGGAAUUACUGGGCGUAAAGGGCGUGUAGGCGGUUUAAUAAGUUAGAGGUGAAAGCCCUUGGCUUAACUAAGGGAUAGCCUCUAAAACUGUUAGGCUUGAGAGCAGGAGAGGGAAGCGGAAUUCCUGGUGUAGCGGUGAAAUGCGUGGAUAUCAGGAGGAACACUUGUGGCGAAGGCGACUUCCUGGCCUGCCACUGACGCUGAGGCGCGAAAGCGUGGGUAGCAAACAGGAUUAGAUACCCUGGUAGUCCACGCCGUAAACGAUGAGUGCUUGGUGUUGGGGGUUUAACUCCCUCGGUGCCGUAGUUAACGCGUUAAGCACUCCGCCUGGGGAAUACGGUCGCAAGACUGAA